rnacentral:rRNA from 3 species
GGACUACUGGGGUAUCUAAUCCCGUUUGCUCCCCUAGCUUUCGCGUCUCAGCGUCAGUAGACGUCCAGGACCUCGCUUUCGCCACGGGCGUUCCUUCCGAUCUCAACGCAUUUCACCGCUCCACCGGAAGUUCCAGGUCCCCCUACGUCCCUCCAGACGGGUCGUUUCGGCACCACUUCCCCGGUUGAGCCGGGGGCUUUCAACUACCGACGUUCCCAUCCGCCUACACGCGCUUUAAGCCCAGUGAUUCCGAAUAACGUUCGCACGGUUCGUCUUACCGCGGCUGCUGGCAC